rnacentral:rRNA from 1 species
GACGAACGCUGGCGGCGUGCUUAACACAUGCAAGUCGAACGGAAAGGCCCCUUUGGGGGUACUCGAGUGGCGAACGGGUGAGUAACACGUGAGUAACCUGCCCUUGACUUCGGGAUAACUUCAGGAAACUGGGGCUAAUACCGGAUAGGAAUCCUUGCUGCAUGGUGGGGGUUGGAAAGCUUCGGCGGUUUUGGAUGGACUCACGGCUUAUCAGCUUGUUGGUGGGGUAGUGGCUUACCAAGGCUUUGACGGGUAGCCGGCCUGAGAGGGCGACCGGCCACAUUGGGACUGAGAUACGGCCCAGACUCCUACGGGAGGCAGCAGGGGGGAAUAUUGCACAAGGGGCGGAAGCCUGAUGCAGCAACGCCGCGUGCGGGAGGACGGCCUUCGGGUUGUAAACCGCUUUCAGCAGGGGCGAAGCUUGUGGUGACGGUACCUGCAGAAGAAGCACCGGCUAACUACGUG